GACAAACCGCCCGUCGGAAAUGUCGGCGGAUGCCAGCAAGCAUAGGGGGAGCUGACUCCCUACGAAAGCGAUUCAGGACCAGAAGCCGCUCGCGGAUUCGCCAAAAAACAUUCUAGGAGACGACGACCACGAUUCUUCAUCCCUUCUCCGUGAAGCUUUUCUUCCGAGUAACCACGCGAACGACCUUACACUAUCGGGACCGAACCAAGCCGUGCCCCUUCCUAAGCUAUGGCAUAAAGAAUCAUAACACCACUGUAAGGUUUUCUUUUGUUAUUAUUUUUACUCGUGUUUAUUAUUAUCACUUUCGGCAGAUCAAUAUCAAUAAACACCAAAGCUUCAAGAGAAGGAA